UGCAGGGCAGGCAUGUUUGCUUGACAGACGUGAAUGUGCCCACAGUCAGUGUGCUUUAUUGCAGGCAUAAAUAUAUCCAAGGAACAAGGGACACAUAGAUCCAGCUCUAAUGUGAAAAAUUAUUACUGAAACAACCUGAGUGGCAAAUGAUAGAUAUUAAUUGUCCACUACUAAGUAACGCUCGGAUAUGUGUCCCUUGUUCCUUGGAUAUAUUGGUCAAAGAGCAUUUGUUCAAUAAUUUAAAUCCCUCGGUGUUUUAGGGAAUUGCUGGUUAAAUUAUUUAUGGUUAUUUCUACAUCAUUCACUUGGCCUUACAAAGCACCUGAAGUGUUGAUCUGACUAAGUUGUUCCCUCUGGUGUUGUAGCAAUGUAAUAUAUGUAUGUCGGUCCAUAUUGAUGCUACUUUCUGAAGAUAAUUGGCAGUUACACACAUUGAUGGCCCCAUCACCAAGUGCAUUUACUUUUUAGGCUUCCAGUUCCCUGGUUUGUGAUUAGUGCCUUAUGAGCAGCACAGUUAUUUUUUUGUAAUCAUUUGUAAAAAUCCUGAACACAAUCAAAGCAUUAACAAGAACUAGAUGUGGUACAAGUGUGAAAUCAUGCACAGCUUCCAUGGAUCACAACAAGACAGGAUAAUCGGAUGCCUGUUCAAUGUGUGAAACUGUCUGCCACUGCUUAAAUUGUUUGAUUUAUUUAUUUAAGUAAGAGAAAUGUCCCUGUGCUUUCAACAGGCUUCUGCCUCCACUUAUCCAAAUGUCUUCCUCCUGCAGAAGACUCCUUGGCUGCUAAGCUCUUCAGCCUCUGCCUUGCUGAAUCUGGGUUUGUCCCAAAGUUGCCUAGAGGUACAGAAUGGCUGGGGCUGGGGCAGGGUGUGCGGAAAAACCAAGGCUGAGGGGGACAUCCCAGGCCCAGCAGAUGCCCUCCAGAUGGUCCUGAGGCCGGAUGCAGGAGGUGAACCUGCUGGGAGAGAGGAAGCAGGGAGCCCUGAAGUUGGAGGAAAUGUUCUCUGACGGGAAAUAUCACUCCUCUGUUGGUUCUGCUGAGCAGCGGAGAUGUACAAGGUCUGCAGAGCAGCAGUGUGGUCAGCAGCUUCCUGCAGCUCUGACACAGCAUCAAGAGUUUAAAAGUAGGAACUAAGAAAGGAAGACCAACAUUUACUUCCACGCCCAUGUGAAAAAUCCUUGUGUUGCACAGCAUGACCCACGAAAAGACAACUGAAGGGAAUCACAAAUUUGAUGUAGCUUCUGUAAUUAGGAGUUGCAUGGGUAUAAAAUGUCUCAGAUUUAAAGGAUGAGUAAUAAUCCAAACUGCAAGUAAGUGCAAGUCUAAAUUCCUUAGCAAAUCUCUGAGCAGUUGCAGCCUGCUUUGAACUUGCCUUGCUCAGGAUGAUGAAACAAAGAAAGCUUACAGCAAAUCUGACUCAAAAAAAAAAAAAAAAAAAAAAAAAAGAGGAGAAAGGAUUGUUUUUCUUUAGAAAAAUGUAGGAAGAUAGCACAGUUGCUUAGAUCUGCUUUUAAGUACAAGGCUUUCCAAAUCCGGGGAGAAGGUGGCUUCUUGGAGUCCGCACCUGACAGUGACCAGUGACUGCACUGAGAUUCAGAUCUCCGGCAGAAGGGCAGGGGCUGGGGCUUGGGGCUACGCCUCUCGGCAGGGAGUGCUCCAGCCCCCAGCCUGCUUCUCGGGCCUUGUUUAGUUUGGUUUUGCUAAGCGCUGCUGCUUUCGGUUCCUCUACAAUAGCAGAGCUUGUGUACAGAAAGGUCAACUUCAGGUCAAGC
rnacentral:lncRNA from 1 species